GCAAGUCGAACGAGAGAACAGGAGCUUGCUCCUGGGCUUUAGUGGCAGACGGGUGAGUAACGCGUGGGCAACCUACCUUUGAGUAGGGGAUACCCAGCCGAAAGGCUGGUUAAUACCGUAUGACAUAGAGAUCACUUAGGUGGAUUCUAUUAAAGCUGGGGAUUUUGGAAACAGAACCUGGUGCUUGAAGAGGGGCUCGCGUUGGAUUAGCUAGUUGGUGGGGUAAUGGCCUACCAAGGCGUCGAUCUAUAGCCGGCCUGAGAGGGUGAUC
rnacentral:rRNA from 1 species